rnacentral:lncRNA from 1 species
CACAUGAGACAAAGGGAACAUUGAUGGCCAUGAGCCCUGGAGAGAGGGGGAGCGGCAGGGACGCACCGCUGGGAAAUGCAGCUUGGAUCGAAGAACGUGAAGAGGCGGGCCGGCCUUUUUCUCUGCCUCUGGUGGGAAGGAAGUGAGAAUGAAAGUGGAUGUUACUAACUUUGAUGGUGAUGGUGAAGAUAACAGAGUGGAGUUUUGUUUAGCUAAUACAAGGCAAAGCGCCUCACUUUUCUUGCUGAAGAAAGAAGUUAUUCUUUUUUCUUUUGUUUGAGGGUGAAUUAAACAGAAGUUGAGUAGUCAGCAUGCAGCAUGCAAAGGUUUGGAACUGCCUCCUUUAGAAUGGGAGAGGAAUCUUUAACCAAAGUCUACCAAAAGAUUUUGAGAUGGUGCCUAGGGUCCGGUUGUCUUCUGACUAUGACUAUUUACUUACAUGUAUGCAUGCAUUUCUCAGUUCAGUGAGUCAACUGGACCUUGCUGUAUAUCAGAGGACAUACCUUCAUCUUGCAUCCUUGAUUUCUGUGAAUGUGCACCUGAAAGAUCUCAUAUCAAUCUUACAUAAACACACAAACCCCCCUAAAACCUUUGAAUACCCAAUUUUCUUUGUUCAGUCAAUGAGUAUUCAUUGUGCACCCAUGAGGCGCUCAUGCCACUCUGUGAGGCCUUUUGAGAGAGGGCAGAGGAUGCCUGGCUCAGGGCCACUUUCUUCUUAGAAAUAUCUACAGGCUUUUUUCUCUGUUCCCUCCUCCACUUGAGCCUUUCUCAGUGUCUGAUGUGGCACUGUUGUCACCAGAUGGUCACUCAACCUUUCCAAAGCUUUGCUAAUUUUCACUAGCUUCCUGCGUGGCAAAAAUGGGAGAAAAUUGAGCUCUGCUUUGCAGAUGCGGUUUGUGAAACCGUUCAUUGCAGCCACCCUUCAUGAUCACUCCUAGGGCUGUCCCUUCUUUGGUGGAAGGCUUUUGGAUUUAGGGGAAAGCACCUUAGCGCACAGCAGCAUUUUCACUAACAAUUGGUUGUGAAAUCUUGGGUCACUCUCGAGAUGGAAAGAGUCUAAGAGAUUAUCUGUUGUAGCACUCAGGCUUCCAAAAGGAAAUUGAGAUCCAAAGAAGCCACAUCCUUUGGCCAAAAACAUUUGGCCUAAUUUUACUCACUUUCUGUGAUUAGGGGCUAAUUUCCAAAAGUCUUCAGCACUGUGUUUUUUGCUUUUUCUUUUUCUUCUUUGCUUAUGGAUGCUUCUGACAGUCAUUCUGGUACUCCUCAAGUUUUUAAGGUUCAAUGUAGUCAAAUUCAACUUUACUCAGAUUCCACUAGAG